rnacentral:misc_RNA from 1 species
CAAUAAGUGUUUAUGGCACUUUCAAAUCCAUACCCACCUUGUGUGCAUUGUAAGGGGGCCCUUUCCCAAAAGACUGGGCUUCAUUUUUCUCACACGUCUUCAAUUGCAAGUCUAACAUUCAGAGUAAUCAAAAAAAACUCGAAUA